rnacentral:lncRNA from 1 species
GUGUUGCAGAAGGUUCCAAAUGUAUAUUGUGGAACUGUGACCUUACUGGAGGAAGGCUAGUUGGUUCCUCAAACACAUCUCUGAAUUCCUGUAAUAUUUCUUUUAACUUGUCAUCUUGAUCUGAUUUAUCCUUCUCUUGUUUCUGAUUUGUGACAUUUUUCUGUUCAACAAACUCAAAUCUGCAGAAAUAUGCACUAGCAGUAGACAUUGCUAGGUUUUUCAAUUCAUGAGUAGAAAAGCUAUCAUCAGAUAAUAUGGUUUCUCCCACCCAAUUUAUUUUCUUUCCCAUCUAGUUAAACUGGAUAGACAUGUUUACAUAAUCAGAAAGAACUGACCCCACAGUUUUAAACCAUUGUAUACCUAGAACCAGAUUAGCUCCCACUAAUUCUAAAAUAAACAGACCAAUUACUAUUUUAGUGCCCUGUAUAUCUAUCUGCACUUGCUUGCACAUUUUGUCACACUUCAAAUCUGUCCCGCUACCAGUGGAUACUAAGAAUGAUGGAAUAGGAUAGAUAGGCAGCCUUAGAUAUUCAGCAAUAUCACCUUGUAAAAAAUUGUGAGUGGAUCCAGAAUCCAGCAGCACUGAUACUUUGCAAUUUUUUAUUGCAGCAGUCAACCUCAAGGUCCUUGGGCUUGCUUGGCCUUGUAGAGAGUGAUAACUGAUAUGUGUUGGCUCAGCUCUUAUUUCUUCCACAGUAUCUAGAAAUAUAUCAUCUUCUUCUUUCGGGUCAGUAUAUUCACUGAAAUUCUGUCCAUCCUCAGAUAAUAGAAAUAGUCUUUCUUUGCAUUUGUGCCCUUUUUCCCACUUUUCCGUACAGUUGAAACAUUCAUUCUUAGAUCUUUUGAUUCUCAUUUCUGUAGGUGUUAAUUUCUGUCUAAUAAUUGGUUGUUUCACAAUGGAAUUGCUUGGUGAUGCUAGUAGUCUCUUAUGAGGUGGAAUAUAAGAACUCAAAUUCUGAUUUGUUGUUGCAGGACUGUAAGGAACUAUAGCUUGUUGGGGACAGUAUCUGACUAUAUCAGUUGAGAAAUCCUCCCUUUCAUAUAAUUGUGUUAGCGCAAAAGCCUCAACUAGUGUUUCAGGUCUGGCUUUUAUCACGUCCUUUUGUACUUCAUUUUUUAAUCCUGCCAUAAAUAUUUCUUUAAGAACUCUAGGAUUUAUAUCAGUUACUUUAUUUGCUAGGCUCUCGAAUCUCUGUUGAUACUCCUUGACAGUAGUGAUUUGCAUUACUUUGCUAAGUCUUCCAGCCGGAAUCUCAUACGCAGAGGUGCCAAAUCUUUUAGUGAUAUCCUCCACAAAGUCAUACCAUGACUUUAUUUGAUUAUUUCUAUCAGCCCAUAGUAACCAUUCUAAAGCCUCACCUUCCAUAUUGAAGGUCGCUACUGUGAUCCUCUCCUCAUCUGGAACAUUGUGGUAUCUCAAAUAUUUGUUGGCUUUGUAGACCCAACCUUGCACAUUGUCUCCAUCGAACUUAGGCAUUUCGGAUCUCACAGAUUUGGAUUUGAAGUCUGAGUUGUUUGAUCUCUGUCCAGUUUCUUGACUUCCUAUUUUGCUAAGUAGACAUAGUGACUCACUCAUUUGAGCCAAGGUCUGCUCCAUCUUUUUCAUUCUUUCACUUUCCACAUCUUGCUUAAUCUGUAAUCUUUUUAGUUGAGUUUCCAUUGAUUCACUCAUUCUUCUUAUAGAUUUCAAUUACUGGAAAAAAAAAAUUAAAGAGCUUUAAUGAACGGAUAAUUGAUGAGAUUUAGGGGUAAGAUACGUCCCUGAUACGGUUCUGUCAAGCACAGAACACGCCUUGGAUAGUUGUUUGGUAUAUUAUAGGGAUACCAGUCCUUCUUCAAUAUCCGGCUCUAAAAAAAAAAAAUUCCUCUUUUUUUUUAGAUCUGCGAUACACAACAACUUAGUAACAGAAUAAUGAGUUGUAGUUGAGAUUAGAUACGUCCCUAGUAAGGAUCUGUUAAGCACAGAACAUGCUUUGAUAAGAGUUUGUAUUUUUUUUUGCAGGAAUACAAAUCCUUGAAGAUCCUUGAUGCUUAUCCCGGUGACCUUACUCAGAGCAACGCACGCCGGCAGGAGAUCAUUGAAAGCACCAGUAAUACGUCUGAAAAAGGAAGGAGACGGAGUGUAAUAUUCUGAAAAUUGGGGUCUUAAUAGGAAAAGGAAACCCUAACGACAGGAGCAGCCUUGGGGAAAAAAAUUAACAAAAAAAUAAGGCAACUCGGUCUAACCGGUUGGGUUAAGAUCAAUUAGGCUAGUCAAGUAUGCUAGUCGACUAGGGGUUAAGGUUAAUUAAACAAGAAAAUAAAUAGGAUUUCAAAUUAAGGGUAAUUUAGUCAAUGGGAAUUGGAAACUUUAAAUUUGGAAUUUGGAAAUAGGAUUUGAAAUUUGGAAAUAGGAUUUGAAAUUGGGGGCAAUUAAGUCAAAAAAAUUCAGAAUAUAAAUAUUUUGAAUUAGGGGCAAUUGAGUCAAAUAAAAAGGGGAGAAUAUUCUGUAUUUUCAGAAUUAAUUGAGGAGGAGAAAAAGGAAAGAGGGGGAACGGUUGGAGGAGAGGAAUUAGGAUUUAAGAGAAUACGUUGGGGGGAAGAGAAGAGGGAAAAAGAAAAAGAAGAGAAAAGGGAAAAAGAAAAAGAAGAGAAGAGGGAAACGAAAAUUGAAGGAGGAGGAAGGGAAGGAUCUCGGAUAGGGCUUGGAAGGGGAAGAGAAAAGGUUAAAGAAGUGAUCAAGGUACGCGGGUAUAAGAUUCUUUUAUUAGUAUAUGUAGUGAAAGGUCAUGUUAUAGAGAUGAGGUGAAAUGGUGCAAGAAGGUAACAUUUUUGUUGUUGUUGUGCUAGUCUUUGGUGUCCCACGGUUUAAUAUUUGUAGUCGUGUUAACAUUCCUAGGCUUAGGGGUGAAGAGGAUCUUCACAAUAUUAAAUGCUAGUCUUUAUUCCCGAUUUUAGUUUUUCGCUAGUAUUUUUAUUACGGUGUUACUCUAUUUUGUUUUGAUCCGGGCGCAUAAAUGUUGAUGGAAAGUAACGGAGUUGCAAGUCUUUAUUCUCGUUUGAUGUUGGUUUUAUGCUCUGUUUUUGUGAUGAUUCCAAGCGCAUAAAUACGGCUAGACAGCCAUGACUUUAUAAAUUUUAUUCCGGAUUAUUGCGAGUUUUCGUCUCUGCUUUCUGGUUUGAAUCAGGUGCAUAAAUGCUGCUGGACAGUAACAGAAUUGUUUGUCUUUAUUCCUGAUUGAUGCUGGUCUAUGCUCUAUUUUCGUGCAGUUUUCAUACGCAUAAAUGUGGCUGGACAGCAGCGAAUUUACAAGUUUUUAUUUCUGAUUAUUGCGGAUUUUCGUCGCUAUUUUCUGUUUUGAUUCAGGCGCAUAAAUGCUACUGAACAGCAACGUAGUUGCUAGUCUUUAUUCCGGAUGGAUGUUGGUUUUAUAAUCCAUUUUGUGUUGUUUUCAGGCGCACAAACGCUGCUGGACAGCAACGAAGUUGCAAGUUCUUUUUUUUCUCCUGGGUUAUGCAUGUUUGAUGCUCUAGUUUCCAUGUUAAUUUCAGGCAUAUAAGAGCUGCUGGACAGCAACGAAUCCUUAAGAACACGGGACCAAAAUCGUGGAUUUUACUCCAUAAGAUCCCAAGUUCAGGAUUCACGCUGCCCUAGGGCUAUAGAAGCACUUGCUUAAGGCUCAGACACCUACAUGGGACGCUCAUCGAAUCGAUUUUAAUCAAUAAAAUCGAUAGGGGUCUGACUAUUUUAUUAUUUAAGGUUUUACAUCACCUUUGGUUUUUUUGUGCAUUUUGGGUUUUUAUUAGACCAUGCGAUCUCCCAUCUCUUUUAUGCCAUUAUACAAAUUUACGGAUCCUUAGGGAUUUGACGAUACAAGGAACGAAUGGAACUUAACGGGCCUGACGAGGCUAUAUGACCCGACGGGGUUUGACGGCAUGGGGAGGGUUAACCGAUGAUCCAUGUAAAGGAAAAGGAAGAAUUUAUGAACUAAAAGAUUUAAUAGAUAUCCACGUACUAAGUUUUGAAACUUACCACGAAUGAUAUUUUUUUCAGGAUAAGCGAUAGCAUAGGAUGGACUGGACCGAGGGAUUCACACAUGAAUGGGAUCCAAGGAUAUGAAUCAAAUUAGAGAUUUAUUUGAUUUCCGCUAGCACUUGAUUUUGUUUUGUUUUCGGUGUAUGCCACUCGGGCAUAUGGAUCUUGUUGAUUGUUAAGUUAAAUUUGAGGGUAACAUUUAAGUUUUAAAUUAAGGAAAAAUUAUGGUUAUUACACUUAUGGAUCUUGUUGAUUGUUAAGUUAAAUUUGAGGGUAACAUUUAAGUUUUAAAUUAAGGAAAAAUUAUGGUUAUUACACGGAGGCAAUGAAACAGUAAACUUGAAACCCUAGGUUGCUUCAACCCGUUUUGUUGCGUUAGCAAUUUUUAAUUGAAA